rnacentral:misc_RNA from 1 species
GUGAAUCAUCGAAUUUUUGAACGCAAAUUGCACUCUCUGGUAUUCCGGAGAGUAUGCCUGUUUGAGGGUCAGUUUAAAUAAAAAUCGGUUUGGUUGCUGCCUUUCUUGGUGACGCACCGGAUUUGGGUCGUCUUGCCUUCGGUUAAGUUACUUAAAAUUUUUCAUGUUUUUUUUCUAACGUAUUUAAAUGAUUUUACGUACUUUUACGAUAGCCUAUACUAGGUGUAGUCAUCCUUGG